rnacentral:rRNA from 1 species
GAUGAACGCUGGCGGCGUGCCUAAUACAUGCAAGUCGAGCGAACGGACGAGAAGCUUACUUCUCUGAUGUUAGCGGCGGACGGGUGAGUAACACGUGGAUAACCUACCUAUCAGACUGGGAUAACUUCGGGAAACCGGCGCUAAUACCGGAUAAUAUUUUGCACCGCAUGGUUCAAAAGUGAAAGACGGUCUUGCUGUCACUUCUAGAUGGAUCCGCGCUGGAUUAGCUAGUUGGUAAGGUAACGGCUUACCAAGGCAACGAUGCAUAGCCGACCUGAGAGGGUGGUCGGCCACACUGGAACUGAGACACGGUCCAGACGCCUACGGGAGGCAGCAGGAGGGAAUCUGGCGCAAGGGGCGAAAGCCUGACGGAGCAACGCCGAGUGAGUGAUGAAGGUCUUCGGAUCGGAAAACUCUGUUAUUAGGGAAGAACAUAUGUGUAAGUAACUGUGCACAUCUUGACGGUACCUAAUCAGAAAGCCACGGCUAACUACGUG